rnacentral:rRNA from 1 species
GUCUACGACCAUACCACCCUGCACGCGCCUGAUCUUGUCUGAUCUUGGAAGCUAAGCAGGGUCGGGCCUGGUUAGUACUUGGAUGGGAGAAUGGUUUGAUAACUAUCUAGCUGAACUCC